rnacentral:tmRNA from 1 species
GGGGAUGAUUGAUUCGACGGAGGACGCACUUUAAAAACAGCAAGCCGACCUUGAUAAGUGGUCGUAAAACAAUUAUCAAAAAUCUAGAUGCUAAUACAUCUAAACAAGCACUUCGAAAGAUGCUCGAUGAAGCGAAAGCUGAACUCGCAGCAUUGACGGGUGCUGUCGCUCCACAAGCACAAGCAGCAAUGCUUUUUGCGUAAGGAGUUGACCAUUUUGUGCUGUUUUCUUCUCGGUGAAACGCGCAAGAUGUAAAAACAGCCGAGGCGUCAGGUUUCCGUUGAUCGGCGGGAACUGGAGCACAAUUUCGAUCAACACUGUAUACAAGAAUUUGUCCGUUUUUAUCUUGUGUACAGAAUCAAACGGACUACGCUUGUAGAAGUUUUUGGAAUGUUCUUUCGGACCCGAGCUCAUUACUCGGCAUCUCCACAG